CUCAUAUUUAAGCGAAGGAGAAACAGGAAGGGCCUCUUUUUCCCCUCCGCUCCUGCUCCAGCUCCACGAUGUGAUCCACUGACAAGGAGGGAUGCCAAUAAGGCAUCAGAUAAGGUCCUGAGAAUAGGGGAAGAAGCCAUGGACGCCACGACAAGUCAGAAGUUUGGAAAAUUCGAAGAGACAGUCGUUCACAGGCAAACCGGUUGGAGAAGAAGGAAGAAAGAAGUGGCCGAAUGUGGUGAGGGAACAGUGUUAAGUCAGGAAUAAAACUGUA
rnacentral:lncRNA from 1 species